AUUGAACGCUGGCGGCAGGCCUAACACAUGCAAGUCGAGCGGAUGAAGGGAGCUUGCUCCUGGAUUCAGCGGCGGACGGGUGAGUAAUGCCUAGGAAUCUGCCUGGUAGUGGGGGAUAACGUCCGGAAACGGGCGCUAAUACCGCAUACGUCCUGAGGGAGAAAGUGGGGGAUCUUCGGACCUUACGCUAUCGGAUGAGCCUAGGUCGGAUUAGCUAGUUGGUGGGGUAAAGGCCUACCAAGGCGACGAUCCGUAACUGGUCUGAGAGGAUGAUCAGUCACACUGGAACUGAGACACGGUCCAGACUCCUACGGGAGGCAGCAGUGGGGAAUAUUGGACAAUGGGCGAAAGCCUGAUCCAGCCAUGCCGCGUGUGUGAAGAAGGUCUUCGGAUUGUAAAGCACUUUAAGUUGGGAGGAAGGGCAGUAAGUUAAUACCUUGCCGUUUUGACGUUACCAACAGAAUAAGCACCGGCUAACUUCGUG
rnacentral:rRNA from 1 species